rnacentral:rRNA from 1 species
GGAAAGGUGAAAAGAACCCCGGGAGGGGAGUGAAAGAGAAUCUGAAACCCUAUGUUUACAAGCAGAGAAAGCACAGUUUAAAGUGCGAUCUCGUACUUUUUGUAGAACGGACCGGCGAGUUAUUUUGUGCAGCGAGGUUAAGGGCUACAGGCCCGGAGCCGCAGCGAAAGCGAGUCUGAAAAGGGCGGCAGUUGCAUGAAGUAGACCCGAAACCAGGCGACCUAUCCAUGGACAGGUUGAAGUGGGGGUAAAACCCCAUGGAGGACCGAACCCACGCUUGUUGAAAAAAGCGGGGAUGAGCUGUGGAUAGCGGAGAAAUUCCAAUCGAGCUUGGAGAUAGCUGGUUCUCCUCGAAAUAGCUUUAGGGCUAGCCUCGUUAUUAAGACAUACGGAGGUAGAGCACUGAAUGGGCUAGGGGGCCUCAAAGCUUACCGAACCUUAUCAAACUCCGAAUGCCGUAUGUUAUGAACGGGAGUCAGACUAUGAGAGAUAAGUCCCAUGGUCAAAAGGGAAAGAGCCCAGAACACCGUCUAAGGUCCCGAAAUCGUCGUUAAGUGGAAAAGGAUGUGUAACUGCACAAACAACCAGGAUGUUGGCUUAGAAGCAGCCACUCAUUCAAAGAGUGCGUAACAGCUCACUGGUCUAGUGGUUAUGCGCCGAAAAUGUCCGGGGCUAAAACGGCGUACCGAAGACGUGUCUUGACUUAAAGUCAGGGGUAGAGGAGCAUCGUGCAGUAGGCCGAAGCCGAAUCGUAAGAGACGGUGGACGAGGCACGAGAGAGAAUGCCGGUAUGAGUAGCGAGAAUAAAGUGAGAAUCUUUAUCGUCGAAAGCCUAAGGUUUCCUGGGGAAGGUUCGUCCGCCCAGGGUAAGUCGGGACCUAAGCCGAGGGCGAAUGCCGUAGGCGAUGGACAACUGGUUGAGAUUCCAGUACCACCGGGUCAGCGUUUGACUGAUGCAGUGACACAGGAGGAUAGGCAAAGCGGGUUGAUGGUAGAGCCCGUCCAAGCACUGAGGCAGGCGGCGUAGUGAAGUACGCGCCGCUAAUGCUGGGGUGUGAUGGGGAGAGAAAAUAAGUAUCGAAGUUGCCGAAUUCACACUGGCGAGAAAAGCUGCUAAAGGAGCUGAUCUGGUGCCCGUACCGCAAACCGACACAGGUAGGCGAGGUGAGAAACCUAAGACGAGCGGGAUAACCUUUGUUAAGGAACUCGGCAAAAUGACCCCGUAACUUCGGGAGAAGGGGAGCCCCUGUAAAGGGGGCCGCAGUGAAUAGGCCCAAGCGACUGUUUAGCAAAAACACAGGUCUGUGCGAACUCGAAAGAGGACGUAUACGGGCUGACGCCUGCCCAGUGCCGGAAGGUUAAGGGGAAGUGUUAGUGGCAACGCGAAGCACGGAACUUAAGCCCCGGUGAACGGCGGCCGUAACUAUAACGGUCCUAAGGUAGCGAAAUUCCUUGUCAGGUAAGUUCUGACCCGCACGAAUGGCGU